CAACUUUCAACAACGGAUCUCUUGGUUCUGGCAUCGAUGAAGAACGCAGCGAAAUGCGAUAAAGUAGUGUGAAUUGCAGAAUUCAGUGAAUCAUCGAAUCUUUGAACGCACAUUGCGCCCCUUGGUAUUCCAUGGGGCAUGCCUGUUCGAGCGUCAUUU
rnacentral:rRNA from 1 species